AUUGAACGCUGGCGUCAGGCCUAACACAUUCAAGUCGAACGCGUGGCGGACGGGUGCUUAAUGUCUGGGACACUGCCUGAUGGAGGGGGAUAACUACUGGAAACGGUAGCUAAUACCGCAUACCAUCAGAUGUGCCCAUAUGGGAUUCGCUAGUUGGUGGGGUAACGGCUCACCACGGCGACGAUCCCUAGCUGGUAUGAGAGGAUGACCAGCCACACUGGAACUGAGACACGGUCCAGACUCCUACGGGAGGAAGCAGUGGUGAAUAUUGCAAAAUGGGCGCAAGCCUGAUGCAGCCAUGCCGCGUGUAUGAAGAAGGCCUUCGGGUUGUAAAGUACUUUCAGCGGGGAGGCGUUACCCGCAGAAGAAGCACCGGCUAACUCCGUGCCAGCAGCCGCGGUAAUAC
rnacentral:rRNA from 1 species